GGCAGGACUGGGGAGUCUCACUCACCCUCUCUGGCUGCCUGUCGCCCAGCGUGGGACAGGCGGGAAACAUCCCCUGCUCUCCCACACACACUUCGAGGCUUCAGUCUCCUACAGGAUCUCAUCUAAUCCUCACAACAACCUGGGAGUAGAUCCUUAUUACCUUAGCUUCACAACUGCAGGAGCCACCUCGGAGGUAAGGGGCUUGCCCUGGGUCACAGAGCUGGUGCCUGGACCAGCCCUCUGCCAGGACCUUCGCUGCAUAUUUUCGGCUCCUGCCCGCUCGGCUCCCAGCACCACUGGCUCUUGGUGGCUAUCAUGGGGAGAUGGGGGGCCCCACACCCCGCAGUUUAGGUCUCAAUGCAGGGCCCAGGAUGGGGCAGAGAGAGAGCGAGCCAUGUUUUGGAGUCACCAGAGCUCCCGGGGAAGACCAAGGUCCAGCGUCAGUCCCAGCCAGGAAAACCAGGAGAGAAGAACUAGGCCACACACAUCCUGAGAGCAGCCUCAGGGAAGCCUACAGGAAAGGCCAGAGCCUAAUGGAGCCCAAGGGCGUCCUAGGAUUUGGAGCGGACCCAGACUCCCAGCCUCUUGAAUGCCUGGUUGAAAUGAAGGCCCGCGGAGAAGCUCUGAGUACCUGGAACUCUGGAGAAGAGAGGAGGCUCCCAGACCUGAGGCCUGGAAGAGUCUUCUGGCCCUGGGGCCUACGCCUACAGGGACAGAGCAGCAGACCCGGGCUGCGGAUGGGCCCAUCAGCCCCUUGGCCUCCCGUAAUGCCAGGAAGGUGGCAGAUGCAGAUAAACAAGGACGAGCAGCCAGGACCCUGGGUGUCGGGUGUGGGAACCCCCACCACCAUUUGGUCACCCCCACCUGGACAGCUGUGGAAGUUUCCUCCGCUGUGGCCCCAGGGCCCUGUUCUGUCUAGGCCCACUCCCCCGUGCCGCCCAGGGUCUGGCUGGCCCUUCGGCAUCUUCCCUGCGCAGUGUCACCCGUGCCCGUGGCUACUCCUGCCUGUGGGCUGUGGGUGCAGCUGA
rnacentral:lncRNA from 12 species